rnacentral:rRNA from 1 species
UCGAGAAUAAUUCACAAUGGGCGAAAGCCUGAUGGUGCAACGCCGCGUGGAGGAUGAAGGUCUUCGGAUUGUAAACUCCUGUCAUCGGGGAGUAAGACCUGGGCGUGAAUAGCGCACAGGGUUGAUAGUACCCGAAGAGGAAGGGACGGCUAACUUCGUGCCAGCAGCCGCGGUAAUACGAAGGUCCCAAGCGUUGUUCGGAAUCACUGGGCGUAAAGGGAGCGUAGGCGGCGUGGUAAGUCAGAUGUGA